rnacentral:lncRNA from 1 species
AAAGAUGUAAAAUUUUGCUAACUUUUUAUGUGCAAAAGUUGAUAGCUUGUAUACUAUAAAUUUGCAUACCAAAAAUACAAUCUUGUUUAUCUCAAGAUGCAAAACAUACUAACUUGCACUUUGCAACGGAAGCAAAAUUGCUAGCUCAAACAUUGCAAAGGAAGCAAAAAUUUGCUAGCUUACAAUUUGCAUAUUUCAAGAAGCAAGAGUUGCUUUCUUGAACAUCUCAAUAUUGCUAGCUUGCAUGAUGUAGAACUUGCUAUCUUGAACAUUACAAAAAGUGCUAUCUUAUAUGCUGUAAAACUUGUAUAUCUAAAACUUGAUAGCUUGAAUGUCCCAAGCAUGAUGCAUUACUUGCUAAAUUUUCUAUCUUCAAAAUUGCAUGAUGAUAAAAAUUUAAUAUUAUGUUUUUCAUGCAAUGGUUUGAACCCAUAUAAUAAACACAUAAGAGUAGGAACUUCUCCUUUUUGUUGAUGACAAAGGGGGAGAAGUAUAUUGAUGACUUCAUGCAUUAAAUUGAAUAUUU